ensembl:miRNA MIR410 microRNA 410
GGGUUCUUGAGGAGAGGCUGUCUGUGAUGAGUUCGCUUAAUCAAUGACGAAUAUAACACAGAUGGCCUGUUCUCAGUACC